rnacentral:rRNA from 1 species
GGCCACUGCUAUCGGGGUCCGACUAAGCCAUGCGAGUCAAGGGGCUCCCUUCGGGGAGCACCGGCGCACGGCUCAGUAACACGUGGCUAACCUACCCUCGGGUGGGGGAUAACCUCGGGAAACUGAGGCUAAUCCCCCAUAGGGGAGGAGGUCUGGAAUGAUCCCUCCCCGAAAGGCGUUAUGCCGCCCGAGGAUGGGGCUGCGGCGGAUUAGGUAGUUGGUGGGGUAACGGCCCACCAAGCCUACGAUCCGUACGGGCCCUGAGAGGGGGAGCCCGGAGAUGGACACUGAGACACGGGUCCAGGCCCUACGGGGCGCAGCAGGCGCGAAACCUCCGCAAUGCGCGAAAGCGCGACGGGGGGACCCCGAGUGCCCACGCUCUGCGUGGGCUUUUCCGGAGUGUAAACAGCUCCGGGAAUAAGGGCUGGGCAAGUCCGGUGCCAGCAGCCGCGGUAAUACCGGCGGCCCGAGUGGUGGCCACUGUUAUUGGGCCUAAAGCGUCCGUAGCCGGCCCGGUAAGUCUCUGCUUAAAUCCUGCGGCUCAACCGCAGGGCUGGCAGAGAUACUGCCGGGCUUGGGACCGGGAGAGGCCGGGGGUACCCCAGGGGUAGCGGUGAAAUGCGUUGAUCCCUGGGGGACCACCUGUGGCGAAGGCGCCCGGCUGGAACGGGUCCGACGGUGAGGGACGAAGGCCGGGGGAGCAAACCGGAUUAGAUACCCGGGUAGUCCCGGCUGUAAACUCUGCGGACUAGGUGUCGCGUCGGCUUCGGGCCGACGCGGUGCCGAAGGGAAGCCGUUAAGUCCGCCGCCUGGGGAGUACGGUCGCAAGACUGAAACUUAAAGGAAUUGGCGGGGGAGCACUACAACGGGUGGAGCCUGCGGUUUAAUUGGAUUCAACGCCGGGCAUCUUACCAGGGGCGACGGCAGGAUGAAGGCCAGGUUGACGACCUUGCCAGACGCGCCGAGAGGUGGUGCAUGGCCGUCGUCAGCUCGUACCGUGAGGCGUCCUGUUAAGUCAGGUAACGAGCGAGACCCGUGCCCCAUGUUGCUACCUCCUCCUCCGGGAGGAGGGCACUCAUGGGGGACCGCCGGCGCUAAGCCGGAGGAAGGUGCGGGCAACGACAGGUCCGCAUGCCCCGAAUCCCCUGGGCUACACGCGGGCUACAAUGGCCGGGACAAUGGGACGCGACCCCGAAAGGGGGAGCGAAUCCCCUAAACCCGGUCGUAGUCCGGAUCGAGGGCUGUAACUCGCCCUCGUGAAGCCGGAAUCCGUAGUAAUCGCGCCUCACCAUGGCGCGGUGAAUGCGUCCCUGCUCCUUGCACACACCGCCCGUCACGCCACCCGAGUUGAGCCCAAGUGAGGCCCUGUCCGCAGGGCAGGGUCGAACUUGGGUUCAGCGAGGGGGGCG